GGACAUUCUGCCUCUCAGUUUCUCCAUCUACUAAAGAGCUCAGACUGUGCACUUCUCCCUCCCACAGUACACUUUACACAGCUUUGACCAUCCUCCCUGCUGCUUGGAUUGCAAAGGACAGGAUACUCUUCCAAAAGACAGACAACCUUUCUCUCUCCAAACAGGUAGAAUCCUUUUCAGGCCCGUUAACGCCAGGCAAGAGACCCCAGUAGAUCGCAGCCUUUUGCAUAUCAGCCAGGAGUGUCCUUGUCCUAGAGGAGGAACUAAUAGCUAUGGCAGACACAAUCCGCAAGGAAACCAAUUUCCUUCUAAAUGAAAGCCGGGAGAGGGCUCCUCCUCGUUGCUUGUGUCCAUGGAAUAGGCAAUUCCCACAGACCCUGUAAGGAUGUGCUGCAGGUGGCCUCAGGAUGUCCACAUCCCUGGGUCCCGCUGUGCCCUGGAAAUCCCCAUCUCCAGGAGUCCCACGUCCACACAUGUGGCUUUUCUCUCUUUCGGCCGGAAACCACGCUUGCUUAGCCACGCAGCAUACCAUGUAGUCAGUGCUCUGGCAGCAGCAACACUCCUACCCGCCUGUCUGUGCGUGCAUCCAUGGCACACUCCUGUCCUGGGCAGGUUUCCUCUGCACACUUUGCAGGGGUGCCAGUGUACCUCUCAUCCUCCAGGUGAGGCCAAGGACAAUUGCAAGCUUUUCCUCUGUCCUCUUCUCACUCCUUAGCUCCCCUCUCCUCUCCAUUCAGUGGCAGCAGCCUCACACCAAAAAGGAAAAUCCUGGACCCAUUACAUAAUUGUCCAUAGUGCAAGCAGUAGCUGGGGCAUAAGGUCAGAGGUCAUAGUGGGGUCAGGUGGCUGACACACACUGUAACGACAAGGUGGUUAAAAUUAGACCACAGAGAGGAAACUGGCAGUCUUGUGGAAAUGCAGAAGUUUCCUAUGCAAGUGAGAGGCUGGAGAUGCAGGGAGGCCACUGUGCGUGCUGCCUGCCAGGCUAUUACUCAUUUCGGCUCUGUUCUUUAAUGCCUUUUAGCCCCUGCUUCUGUAUUUCUAGCCUUCCUCAUCACAUGUUUGAAUACACGCAAUGGAACCAUGCUUACCUGCCCUGGGCCAAGACAAGCUUUCCUUCUCCUUCAUGGAGGUAAGCCCAGGACCACGCACCCCAAGCUCAAGGGGCUGAACUUUUUCUAAGCCCUUCUGGGUAGCCGAGAACCUUCUACAUCAGCCUCUCAGGUGAAGGUGGUCAAAGUACUUAGCUUGAGAUUCCAGCCUAUAAUGGUAACAGGGCCAAUGGUGAGUGAAAGCAGAGAACACUCCUAGACCAGGUAGGAAAGCAGGGUUGGCUUUUGGUGAAGGUGGCAGAGGAUGCAGCCAUGGAGCACACAGUUGACUGGUGUGUGCCGCACUUUCCUGGGCAGCCAGCCAGCACAGCGGUGCUCAUUUACUUCCACUGUCUUAGAGAACAUGGGUCAUGCCUGCUUCAUCUGCUCUCUGUGGUACCCAGCCGAGCUUCCCUGGGCUGUCCAUCUUUAUUGUGAGCCUACUGUGUGCACAGCUUGUCCUUGCAAUUCUUGCCAGUGAUGUACGAAAACGAUGAGAUUUAGGCUUUGCCACCAGAGGGGUUGCUGUCCACAUGAGAGAAAGAACACCUGCACCUGUAAAAUGAUCAUCAGUAGUCUCCAGGUUAUUGCAGCUGACUGCAAAAGGGUCACAGUGCUGAAGUACUUUCUGGAAGCCCUUUGUGGACAAGAAGAGCCUCUGCUGGCAUUCAAGGAUGGAAAGUAUGUGUCAGUGGCACCCGCCCCAGACACCAUGGGAAAGGAAAUGGGAAGCCAAGAGGGAACACGACUGGAAGAUGAGGAGGAGGAUGUGGUGAUUGAAGACUUUGAGGAAGAUUCAGAGGCUGAAGGCAGCGGAGGCGAGGAUGACAUCAGGGAACUUCGGGCCAAGAAGCUGGCUCUGGCCAGGAAGAUAGCUGAGCAGCAGCGUCGCCAGGAAAAGAUCCAGGCUGUCCUAGAGGACCACAGUCAGAUGAGGCAGAUGGAGCUCGAAAUCAGACCUUUGUUCCUCGUACCAGACACCAACGGCUUCAUUGACCACCUGGCCAGUCUGGCGCGGCUGCUGGAGAGCAGGAAGUACAUCCUGGUGGUGCCCCUCAUCGUGAUCAAUGAGCUGGACGGCCUGGCCAAGGGGCAGGAGACAGACCACCGGGCUGGGGGCUACGCCCGUGUGGUACAAGAAAAGGCCCGCAAGUCCAUCGAGUUCCUCGAGCAGCGAUUCGAGAGUCGGGACUCUUGCCUGCGAGCCCUGACCAGCCGUGGCAAUGAACUCGAAUCCAUCGCCUUCCGCAGUGAGGACAUCACUGGCCAGCUGGGUAACAACGAUGAUCUCAUCCUCUCCUGCUGCCUCCACUACUGCAAAGACAAGGCCAAGGACUUUAUGCCUACCAGCAAAGAGGAGCCAAUCCGGCUACUGCGGGAGGUGGUGCUGUUGACAGAUGACCGGAACCUGCGUGUGAAGGCGCUCACAAGGAAUGUUCCUGUACGGGACAUCCCAGCCUUCCUCACAUGGGCUCAAGUGGGCUGAGGGAGCCACACUGGGGCCCCCCCCGUGGAACCGUUCCUGAAAGGCCACCAGGCGCCCAGUGUAGCACGGAAGAUGCCCACGUGCCUGAGCCACCAAUCCACCCAGACAAUAAACCAUCCUCUUCCAACGCACGCCGUGGCCAUGCUGUGGGGGAGCUGCUCCUCACAGAGCCCCUCCCAAGGAUUGGGCAGAAGCUGCUGGGACCCUCCUGGGCUGCCAGGAUUUAGCAGGGAGGUGGCUGGCUACAGCAACAGCAGCUGGGCAAGCCAGAUAGGCCGCCCAUGCUCUCAGCCUUUCUCCCUCCCCCGUCUCAUUCCAAGGCUGGGGGAGGGCCUUCUCGCCUGGGGACGCAGCCACUUUCUCCAGUGGAGACAGGGCAGGGGUCCAGAGUUUCCGUCAGAUGCAGUGAAAUCACAGGUCCCUUUCAUCUUCAGAACCUCUGUCCUGAAUGUGUUCAAGAGGCUUUGGUUAUGUCAGGAAGAAGUGCCCAGGGUGUAUGUCCCCAGUUCCCCCGAGGUCUGGACUCGCCCAUGGACCCAAGUUGGCUUUUAGACACCAUGUCCCUAACAGCAGCCCUGGGCCCCCACCUCUUCUACCAUCCACCCCAGACUUACCACACGCCCUUCCUGCUGCUCUUCUUCCUGCCCUUAUCAACCUGGGUCCCUCACACUUUGCCAGUUGCUUCCCCGUGGACAGUCAUGAGUCUAGAGGAAAGGGGCAUCUGGUCUCAGGCCCGUGCUCUCAGGUGGCCUCCACCUGCUCCCUCUCUCCUCACUGGCCUUUCAGUCUAGCUUCCUCUUCAGGAAAUGUCCUGACUCUCCUCAGCUCCCCCUUCACCCCUCCUUGCCCACCUACCCUCCCUCCAGAAUAGCUCCUCAUCCUCCUUCCCCUUCUAGUUGAUCCUUUUCACCUCCCUGAUCCCCUUCAUUUCUUCACCGCGGUUCCUCGUCAUAGGGGUUCUCACUCUGAACUUUCCCUCUCUACUACCCAUGGCAGGAACCUAGUACAGCUCUCACACCCAGGGCCUUCCACCCUCGGCUCCUGUGCUGGGAGAAACUUCCAGGCAUGGACAGCCCAGCCUGAGGCAUUCCAGUGCCUGGGGCAACGUCGCCUAACCUGGUUUCUAGCUUUGCCCUCACUUCCCGGAAAAACUGACACAGGGGCCCCUUCCUUGCCCCUUUAGCUGGUACCUCAGUGGGGAGGCUUCCUUACCAAGAAUGAGUUCCUGAAAUCCAGGGCCAGAGGUAAGGGCAACUUAGGGGAAGACAGGGUUUUUGAUGGAGCCAGGGGCAGAUCUUAAUGGGACCAGUGGGGGAUACCCCAGAGCCCAUGGCCUGACUGCACAGCCUGCCUGGAGGAUGGGUGCACAGCUCUGCCCUCCCUGAGGCCCAGGACUAUGCCAGAAGCGAUGGGGUACCGUGCAGGGGAGCCAAGGCCAAUAGUUUGGGGGUGGGAGUCCCCUAGAGUCUCAGAAGACUGGGCUCUUUGGAGUACAGGGUCCCCGGCCUCUCCUUUAAGAUUCUCUCCCCAGCUAGAAGGCCGAUGACUGGGUGGUCGGGAGGGAGACCCAUCUCUCCUUUCUGUCCCGUUUGCAGCAUUGGUUUUGUUUCCUUAAUAAAUUUUUAGUUAUGAAAC
rnacentral:sRNA from 1 species